rnacentral:rRNA from 1 species
GAUGAACGCUAGCUACAGGCUUAACACAUGCAAGUCGCGGGGCAGCAUGGGGGUUGCUUGCAAUCCCCGAUGGCGACCGGCGCACGGGUGAGUAACGCGUAUCCAACCUGCCCUUCACCACGGGAUAACCCGGCGAAAGUCGGACUAAUACCGUAUGUUGUCCAUUGACGGCAUCCGAUUUGGACGAAAGGUUUGGCGGUGAAGGAUGGGGAUGCGUCCGAUUAGCUGGACGGCGGGGUGACGGCCCACCGUGGCGACGAUCGGUAGGGGUGCUGAGAGGAAGGUCCCCCACACUGGAACUGAGACACGGUCCAGACUCCUACGGGAGGCAGCAGUGAGGAAUAUUGGUCAAUGGGCGUAAGCCUGAACCAGCCAAGUAGCGUGCAGGAUGACGGCCCUAUGGGUUGUAAACUGCUUUUAUGCGGGGAUAAAGUGGCCCACGUGUGGGUUUUUGCAGGUACCGCAUGAAUAAGGACCGGCUAAUUCCGUG